CUUUGCCUCACGAAGGCCCAAUCCACCCUCCUGCAAAGGGGAACAAAUUUUGUGCCAAGAAAUAAGAAAUAGCUUAUUUUUAGACCUCCAAGAACCAACCCCAUGCCAAAACCAGGCGCAUAACGAAUCAAUCUGUUUACAAGUCCAAAAGGCUCUGCAAGAGAUGAACACAUCAUCUGCUUUAAAUUUUCAGAGUUCAUCAAACAACUUUUACAUCAUGAAAAAGAUUAAGCUCUCUGUAAACAGACAAUAGGCGAAAAAGUUAACUCCAUAGCCAAAAAAAAAAGAAAGGAUAUCAACAGACAUCCUUGUCGAAGACCCCGAGAUGGUCGAAAAUAUUCAAAGGCCGCCCCUUCCAAUUUAAUAGAGAAGGAAGAAGAACACAUCAUGGCCCAUAGUUCUGAUGUUACAAAAUUACCCAAAACAGGUGCAUGCUAUACGCCUAUACCUUACCGGCUUACCCCUACAAAUUGGACAAUUUCGUCCUUUCGUCGCUGCAGCUCCUACCCUACGUUGGGAACUCCCUCGUCCACCACCGCCGUUGCACCACUUCCGUUGUCUCCACCACCAAGGACUGGCAUGCUACCUAACAGUGGGCCACCAUCGUCUUCCUACUCAUCUUCUCCCUCUACUUCCUUGCCUUCACUUCCUCCUGUAAUACCUUCACUGCCACCAAGGUUUUGAACCUCGCUUCGAUCCAAGCAAAGGAACUCCUCAAUGGCUAGAAGGUCGUCGUCAUCACCUGCAAGGAGAACUGACUUUUAGGUGGUUUCGUUUACAUAAAAAUGAAGUACCUUCGUUUUUCUGAGGAAGAAAAUGAACACGAAGCCCUUACUUGACCCAAAUUCUCUAGGGUUUUAAAAAUUGAAUAAGCUGAUUUGACUUGGGAGUUUGGAUCAAUACGGGGCUCCUUCUGAUUAACUCCGAUUCUAUGCUUAAUGAGUCCAUUCGAGUUUGGUCAAUUUCUAUUUGAAUCCAACAGAUUCUGAGAUCAUUCGAAUUGAAAUCGAUGGAAAUGAAUUCCAAGAUUUAAAACUUUGCAAUUCUCUCGUUGUAUCCUACCCUCCGAACCACUUCAAGGGAGCGGAUCUAAGCUAACAAGGAGUUCCUGCAACUAUUUUAAUGGAGAAAUGCAAGAACAAGAACUCAUGUAUGCAUGGCGUGACCAGAACCAGACAAAAGACCUCCCAAUUUUGGUUUUCUCCUCAACUUUGUUGCCGCGUGACAAGACUUGGAGGUAAAUCAGUAGAAUAACUUUACCUAAAUCUUUAAUGAUUGUUAAAAUCUAAAAAUCUUAUCGAAAAGCUGAUGAAUGGAAUCGCAUUAAAGCUUUCUAUGCUUGUAGGUGAAAAUUCGAGGAAGGGUAGUAGAAGAUUAACAGUAGCUUUCCAUGGACACUCUUCAUUAAUUUUUGUCGGCCAUCAUUCUUAUGAUCCUUGUUGUUUCAACUUCAUUGAAUUAGAAAAGGGUUUUGACUAAAUUCUUGUUUCAUCAUUCUUUUAACGUUUCCUAAUCAACCCUAACUUUGGAUUUUGGUGUUAUCGUUAUGACUUAGAACAUUUUAUUUUCGAUUAAUUCUAUUCCACUGUUCCAGGUUGCUUGCGCAAGAAACUAGCAAUAUUGAUUGGUACAGGUACUCGAAGCUCAGAUUUUAAAAUUGGGUAUUAGUGCUCCUCACAUGCAGGCCUUCGGAAGCUCGAAGGAGAGAGUGAUUCAUCAUUUAUGCUUCCGAAAAAGGGGAAAAAUUGAGAUAUGUCCACCUUUCUAUGUAAAGAGAGAGAAUUCCCCGAGCAUCUGUUUUAUCUUAUUCUUAUCUCGUCGUGAUGAACACUUUUAGAGAGAGAGAGAGAGAGAGAGAAGGAGAAAAGUGGGGCACGAAAGAGACUGCGCAAAGUAAAGAAGCAACACAGAGCGUGUCAUCCCUCCUUGGAUGAAAUUUAUUUCCUUUUUUUCCAAUUGUAUUCGAAUCUAACCUCACUUUCAUGGAGUCAUUUCAUCAUGAAAGUGAAGGCUGAAAAGCGCGUUUCAAUUUGCUCUGCAAUUUCCACCUACUUUCUCUGCAAAGAAUGCUACUCAGUCCUUACUCAAAAGUCUCAAACUCAGUAUCUUUGACUCGCUACGCGAUUUAGUCAGUUCGUUUGAUAUUUGGACUUGAAGAAUCUCACUCAGAUAAUUUUUUUUAAUAAUGUAAGAUAUUCACCUCCUCUGCUUUUCUGUGGACAAUUCAAAAUAUCGUUGUUUCAGUGUAAUUGCUGUGCCUAUAAUACUUUCUGAUUAAAUGGAAAUGUUGGUGAGCGUGUUCUUUACGGCUCCAAUGAGAACUUCCAUGCACCUUCGCUACAGUUGGUUAGUUAUCAUUUCUACUUAUAGUAGAUCACCUCGGUGGGUGGAGGGCAUUUCACAGGCACAGUUUUAGCAAUUUCGGACCUUUUGCUUUGUAGUUUUAGGGUCUUGGAUUCUGGCUGCUGUGUAGUUGGUUCAUUUAUCAUUUCUUGGUUCGUCUGAUGGUACCCAAAAGGUAUCUUCACGAGGAGAAUGAUGGUUUAGACGUUCAAGUUCAGGAAUCAAAGCGUUGUCAUACACUAUCAACUGUUGUGAGAGAGCUGAUGCAAGGAUUGUCCAUGCAAGAAUUCUAUGCAAAGUUGGAACCUUUUCUGAGAAAUGUGGUGCGAGAGGAGGUGGAACGUGUAAUUUUACCCUAUAUCCAAUCUUCCCCCAGGUAUUGCUUUGUUCAAGUGUUUGUGGUUGUUUAUUAAUAAUGUAUCGCUGCGUAGGCCCAAAGUUUUUUGUUUGUUAAUUUGCUUGUGGUUUUAUAUUUACACUUCCUAGGAAUCUUUGGCUACUUUUUAUUCAUGGUCCUGAGGUUCAUCUGAGUAUCGAAAUCCUGUGUAAUAUUAUUAUCACCUUCUUUUAUGGUCUAUUCUUCUAAACUUAAGUUCUAUACGUAGGUAAUCAUGUUGUGGCUUUCUCCUUUUGUGAUUUAAGAGUGGGGUGGGUUGGGUUUGCUAUGCUGUAGGAGUGGCACUAGAACUGUUAUUUUGUUGGUGCUGGGUGGUCUGUGAGGUUCUUGAUGGGUUGUUGGGUUUGGUGAGGCAGUGGAAUAUAGGCCUUGGAUGUUCAGGAGAUCAGUGAUCCUCUUUGCUAUAUUCUUUUCUUUUCUUUUCUUUUCUGGUUAGAUUUCUCUUAUCU